GGACUACUGGGGUUUCUAAUCCCAUUCGCUACCCACGCUUUCGUGUUUCAGUGUCAGGAAUGCGCCAGUGAACUGCCUUCGCUUUUGGUGUUCCCCAUGAUAUCAACGGAUUUCACCCCUACUCCAUGAGUUCCAUUCACCCCUCGCACCCUCCAGUCGCGCCGUAUCUUUCGCUGUCCCUAGGUUGAGCCCAGGUCUUUAACGGAAGACUAACGUGACCACCUACACACCCUUUACGCCCAAUGAUUCCGGAUAACGCUUGGGGCACUCGUAUUACCGCGGCUGCUGGCAC
rnacentral:rRNA from 1 species